rnacentral:rRNA from 1 species
AGAGUUUGAUCCUGGCUCAGAACCAACGUUGGCGGCGUGGCUAAGGCAUGCAAGUCGAGCGCGAAAGUCCCUUCGGGGGCGAGUAGAUUGGCGGACGGGUGAGUAAUACGUGGAUAAUCUCCCCUCGAGCUUGGGAUAACCCUGCGAAAGCGGGGCUAAUACCGAAUAAGACCACAUGGCAUAUGCCAAGGGGUAGAAGGUGGCUUGUAUUUAUAUAAGCUAUCACUUGAGGAUGAGUCCAUGGCCUAUCAGCUUGUUGGUGAGGUAAGAGCUCACCAAGGCUAUGACGGGUAGCUGGUCUGAGAGGACGACCAGCCACACUGGGACUGAGACACGGCCCAGGCUCCUACGGGAGGCAGCAGUGGGGAAUAUUGUUCAAUGGGCGAAAGCCUGACCCAGCGACGCCGCGUGGGUGAUGAAGGCCUUCGGGUUGUAAAGCCCUUUCGUGCGGAAAGAACAGUCCCGUAGCGAAUACCUACGGGAUUUGACGGUACCGCAGGAAGAAGCACCGGCUAACUCCGUGCCAGCAGCCGCGGUAAUACGGAGGGUGCAAGCGUUGUUCGGAAUUAUUGGGCGUAAAGGGCGCGUAGGCGGUUGUGAUAGUCAGAUGUGAAAUCCUCCGGCUCAACUGGAGAGCUGCAUCUGAAACUUCAUAACUCGAGUACAGG